CACAACCUCCUCCUGUCAGGCUUUGAGUGGGGCCUGGUUUGUGUCCCUGGAGCACAUCUACCGGAUUGCGCCCCCAGGCAACUUUCCAGGUCCAGGGAUCACCUGAGCAGUGUAGCCUACUAUAAAGAGUACUUCCGGAGUCAGGUUCUUAUCUACAAUUACAGAAGCCCCCUAAAUCCAGCCCGUCUCCAUCCGGCGUUUGCACUGCUCUCCAGCUGUGAGUUCCAUGGCCAGCGUGAGGUGCUUUAGGGAAAGCCUGCUGUUUGCCGUGCUGCUCCUCGCUGAAAACAUGCAAAGAGAUUCC